UACGGAGGGUGCAAGCGUUAUCCGAAUUUACUGGGUUUAAAGGGUGUGUAGGCGGGCUUUUAAGUCUGGGGUGAAAUCUCCGAGCUCAACUCGGAAACUGCCUUGGAUACUAUAGUCUUGAAUUAUGUUGAGGUUGGCGGAAUAUAACACGUAGCGGUGAAAUGCAUAGAUAUGUUAUAGAACACCGAUUGCGAAGGCAGCUAACUAAGCAUAUAUUGACGCUGAGGCACGAAAGCGUGGGGAUCAAACAGG
rnacentral:rRNA from 1 species